rnacentral:rRNA from 1 species
GACGAACGCUGGCGGCGUGCUUAACACAUGCAAGUCGAGCGGUAAGGCCCUUUCGGGGGUACGACGAGCGGCGAACGGGUGAGUAACACGUGGGUGACCUGCCCUCAGCUCUGGGAGUAAGCCUGGGAAACGUGGGUCUAAUACUGGAUAUGACUCCACGGUGCAUGUCGUGGGGUGGAAAGCCUUGUGCGGCUGAGGAUGGGCCCGCGGCCUAUCAGCUUGUUGGUGGGGUGAGGCCUACCAAGGCGACGACGGGUAGCCGGCCUGAGAGGGCGACCGGCCACACUGGGACUGAGACACGGCCCAGACUCCUACGGGA